rnacentral:rRNA from 1 species
GAUGAACGCUAGCGAUAGGCUUAACACAUGCAAGUCGAGGGGCAGCAUGGUCUUAGCUUGCUAAGGCUGAUGGCGACCGGCGCACGGGUGCGUAACGCGUAUGCAACUUGCCUCACAGAGGGGGAUAACCCGUCGAAAGACGGACUAAUACCGCGUACACUCUAUGUUGGGCAUCCAAUGUAGAGGAAAUGAAAUUCGCUGUGAGAUAGGCAUGCGUCCCAUUAGCUAGUUGGUGAGGUAACGGCUCACCAAGGCGACGAUGGGUAGGGGAACUGAGAGGUUGAACCCCCACACUGGUACUGAGACACGGACCAGACUCCUACGGGAGGCAGCAGUGAGGAAUAUUGGUCAAUGGGCGAGAGCCUGAACCAGCCAAGUCGCGUGAAGGAUGACUGUCUUAUGGAUUGUAAACUUCUUUUAUACGGGAAUAACAAGAGUCACGUGUGGCUCCCUGCAUGUGCCGUAUGAAUAAGCAUCGGCUAACUCCGUG